UCGGCGUCAUUCAGAGGAAAUCUCGGCGGCCUGCACGGCGGGAUCAUUGCACAGCGAGCAGAAGGGGCCGCUAGAAGAGCAGCUUUCUCCAUAGACGAGUGCAGGAGCCACGUACCUCUAUUGCACAAAGAGCCGUGUUUAAAAUAACACGCAGCCCUAAGGCUGGCUCUCUGCACGUCUGCAAGGGAGAAGUGCUCCUGCCUCAAAUCUGCACGUGGGAAGACGUGCUAAUGGGAGGGUUUUUCAAAGGCGCUGGACGCCCGCCGGUCCUGCCCGAGCCCCUGGGAACGGCGGAUGUUCAGUGCCUUUCGCACCCAGCACACGUCAGGAUGCUGGGCUCUUCCCCGAUCCAGACCGGCGAGGUGCUCGGGACGCCGGGGCUCCUGUUUUGAGACGCGCGUUGACAUUACCUUGAACUUCUUUGUUUCUUCCUUCCUAGUCUGCUCGGCAGUCUGGCGAGUGGUUUGCUGAACAGCACGCUUCGCACCCUCUUGCCGACGCUGCUGUGUCCCGUGGUCAAUAUUUGGGUCAACCUCAUCAACAUGAAGCUGCACUUCCUUGACAGCACCAUCUCCUUUGGGCUGCUGAGCAAAAUCCACUCUGCCCUCUCCGCCUUGCCCGUGUCCACGGGGCAGUUCUUUGAAGUGGACUUGCAGGAUGCACCUUUCCCGAGCACCUUCAUCAACUGGCUCCUGCAGGCCUCAGGUGUCAACCCUGCAGCGCUCAGCCCGUGACCUCCUUCCCGGCAGACCCCAGCAGGCAACCCAGGGGCUUCUCCUGGCGUCUGACCGCUCCGGGAAAUCCUGCUGGUGGAAGAAACUUGCACCCCUUGGAAGCGUCCCACGUGAUGGAGGGGGAGAAGAGCGAGACCGAAGGAACCUGCACUAGACCUCUUUUCCUUGCCGCCAGCAUUUCCAGUGCUUGGCCGCACACCAAAGACGUCGUGCUGUUUCCGGCGAUUUGAGUUCAAAACCAAAAAAGCAUAAUCCAAAUGCACAGGUAGCAAGCAUGUGGGCAAGCAUUUACACCUGGAAAUGAUCAGAAUCAGUGUUACCCCAGCAAAUAAUCUCCAUGUGGCUUUGGGUGAGCAUUGCAUUGCAUUGCAUCGCAUCGCGGGUUGGGUGUUUCGCAUCUCUUGUGUUUCUCUUUCCAAUAAAAGAUCCUU